GGGCUUGACAUCCCACGAACCUGCCUGAAAGGGCGGGGUGCCCGCAAGGGAGCGUGGAGACAGGUGGUGCAUGGCUGUCGUCAGCUCGUGUCGUGAGAUGUUGGGUUAAGUCCCGCAACGAGCGCAACCCUCACCCCUAGUUGCCACCGGGUAAAGCCGAGCACUCGAGGGGAACUGCCAGCGUCAAGCUGGAGGAAGGCGGGGAUGACGUCAAGUCAUCACGCCCCUUACGCCCUGGGCUACACACGUGCUACAACGGCCGGUACAAAGGGACGCGAGACCGCAAGGUGGAGCUAAUCCCAAAAAACUGGUCUAAGUUCAGAUUGCAGUCUGCAACUCGACUGCAUGAAGGAGGAAUCGCUAGUAAUCGCGCAUCAGCACGGCGCGGUGAAUACGUUCCCGGGCCUGGUACACACCGCCCGUCACACCACGAAAGCUGUCUGUACUCGAAGUCGCUGAG
rnacentral:rRNA from 1 species